UACAGAGGGUGCAAGCGUUGUUCGGAAUUAUUGGGCGUAAAGGGCUCGUAGGCGGUUUGUCGCAUCGGGAGUGAAAAUCCAGGGCUUAACUCUGGACUGGCUUCCGAUACGGGCAGACUAGAGGUAUGCAGGGGAGAACGGAAUUCCUGGUGUAGCGGUGAAAUGCGCAGAUAUCAGGAGGAACACCGGUGGCGAAGGCGGUUCUCUGGGCAUUACCUGACGCUGAGGAGCGAAAGUGUGGGGAGCGAACAGG
rnacentral:rRNA from 1 species